UUUACUUAAAAUUGAAUAAGUUUCUCAUUACUUAUUUAGAUAAUAAAUCAAAACUGUAAAUUAAUAUAAAGUUUUGGCGGCUUUCUUCUACUUCCGGCGGUUACAUAUGUGUACAGUUAAACAUUGCCUAGAUUAUACACACAAGUGGUCAGUCAAUUGAAAUACUACAAACUGGUGUGACUAUGUGAGAUUAUAAUAGGUGAAAAACCUUCAAGUAUGUCGGAUAAUCCAUCGUUUCUAUCUGGGUCGACGAACCGAUUUAUUUUCCGCCGAAUUUGAGGAAAAAGUGAUUUUUCUCAUGAUCAUGUUGUGGAUAGUUUAUCGGAAGAUGAGGAGAUGUACGUGCCGCCAAUCAAUCGUCGAGAUUUAAAUAUAUGACAACGUCUUACCGUAGUCCAGGUCUCUCCGAAAGGAUUCGAGUAAAUGAAAUACGAAAUCGCAGACUUACAAAAAUGGUACAGUAGAUAUAAACAAUAAAACUCCGGCAGGAUCUUCAUCGAGAUCCACACAUGUAUAUGUGCGCACUCAUAUUGGACACAGGUCAAGCAGCGCGCCAGGGAGUGGACAAAGCAGCAGCAGGAAGGCAACGCCGGAUCGGAUUACGCCUGAUAAACUCACAACAAGGGAAGCUGCUUGCUUGAAGUAGGCAUCAUAGAACGAAGGGGACAAAUUAGAAAGUAGAAAUGAUGUCUUCAGAAUAUGAGGACGAAUCAGACAAAGACAGCCUUUCCAAUAUCAAUGUCCUACCACGAAGGAGCGAUGAAAUAGAUAAGAUCAUUACGGAACUAGGCAAAAAACUGAAAAGUUCUAAAAGACAACAGUAUAAACGACAGAAGUGUCCAGCAGAAAAUGUCCGGAUUAAUACGAUUACUUGAGAUUGACAAUAAAACAGUAACGGAAUGGUAUAGCAAGAAAAUUGAGUGUCUAGUUUAAAGAGAUAAACUUAAUGGCAAGAUUAAAUUUGCAUUGAGUUUACUGGAAUUUACAUUGAGUUUACUGGAAUUUACGUUGAGUUUAGUGGAACUUACAUUGAGUUUACUGGAAUUUGCAUUGAAUUUACUAGACAUUAUAGGGAGUGUAUCGAAAUUUACAGCGAGUUUGCUGGAAUUUACAUUAGGUUUACUGAAAUUUACAUUGAGGUUCCUGGAAUUUACAGCGAGUUUAGUGGAAUUUACAGCGAGUUUACUGGAAUUUACAUUAGGUUUACUGAAAUUUACAUUGAGUUUCCUGGAAUUUACGUUGAGUUUAGUGGAAUUUACAGCGAGUUUGCUGGAAUUUACAUUAGGUUUACUGAAAUUUACAUUGAUUUUCCUGGAAUUUACAUUGAGUUUAGUGGAAUUUACAGCGAGUUUGCUGGAAUUUACAUUAGGUUUACUGAAAUUUACAUUGAGUUUCCUGGAAUUUACGUUGAGUUUAGUGGAAUUUACCGCGAGUUUGCUGGAAUUUACAUUAGGUUUACUGAAAUUUACAUUGAGUUUCCUGGAAUUUACAUUGAGUUUAGUGGAAUUUACAGCGAGUUUGCUGGAAUUUACAUGUGGUUUACUGAAAUUUGCAUUGAGUUUCCUGGAAUUUACGUUGAGUUUAGUGGAAUUUACAGCGAGUUUGCUGGAAUUUACAUUAGGUUUACUGAAAUUUACAUUGAGUUUCCUGAAAUAAAAAUUGAGUUUACGAGAA